UAGGGAAUCUUCCGCAAUGGGCGAAAGCCUGACGGAGCAACGCCGCGUGAGUGAUGAAGGUCUUCGGAUCGUAAAACUCUGUUAUUAGGGAAGAACAAAUGUGUAAGUAACUAUGCACGUCUUGACGGUACCUAAUCAGAAAGCCACGGCUAACUACGUGCCAGCAGCCGCGGUAAUACGUAGGUGGCAAGCGUUAUCCGGAAUUAUUGGGCGUAAAGCGCGCGUAGGCGGUUUUUUAUGUCUGAUGUGAAAGCCCACGGCUCAACCGUGGAGGGUCAUUGGAAACUGGAAAACUUGAGUGCAGAAGAGGAAAGUGGAAUUCCAUGGGUAGCGGUGAAAUGCGCAGAGAUAUGGAGGAACACCAGUGGCGAAGGCGACUUUCUGGUCUGUAACUGACGCUGAUGUGCGAAAGCGUGGGGAGCAAACAGG
rnacentral:rRNA from 1 species